GUGCAGCAGGCGAGAAUUUUUCUCAAUGGGCGAAAGCCUGAAGGAGCGACGCCGCGUGGAGGAUGAAGGUCUUCGGAUUGUAAACUCCUGUCAUUAGGGAACAAUGUGCAUUGAUUAACUGUCGGUGCAUUGAUAGUACCUGAAGAGGAAGGGACGGCUAACUCUGUGCCAGCAGCCGCGGUAAUACAGAGGUCCCAAGCGUUGUUCGGAUUCAUUGGGCGUAAAGGGUGCGUAGGUGGCGGGGUAAGUCGGAUGUGAAAUCUCGGGGCUCAACCCCGAGACUGCAUUCGAUACUGCUUUGCUAGAGUACUGGAGAGGAGAUCGGAAUUUACGGCGUAGCAGUGAAAUGCGUAGAUAUCGUAAGGAAGACCAGUGGCGAAGGCGGAUCUCUGGACAGUUACUGACACUGAGGCACGAAGGCCAGGGGAGCAAACGGGAUUAGAUACCCGUGUAGU
rnacentral:rRNA from 1 species